ACAUGAUUAAAAUGAUAAGUAUUAAGUAACUUGUUCUAAUAUGUUUAGUUACACUAAUAGUGUAAAAUCCAUAAAGUAUCAGGGCAUAUAACUUGAAUCAUAUUAAGUAAAAGCGAACGAAGACAAUCAUCAUUGAGCAAUGAAAUCAAGCUUAAGCAAGGUCAAGAAUUUUUUUGCCUUUAAGUUCAUAAUGUUUCUAAUAAAAUGGGCUCAAUUUAGCUUUGCAUCAGAGCGACUUGCAAAUAACUGAAGUUUUCCUAUCUAGUUUAGCAAACUAUCGUAUUCGAACUUACAUGUUACAAUUUGGCUUUCAAAAUUAUACCUUAGUAGGUCAAGGCACAAGUAAUUUCCAAAAUCUACUCCAUAUCCUUCAUAGCAUCCUGCAUUUGGUUAAAGAACAAGCAAGUUAAAUACAGAAGCGUUGCCUAUGAAUCUUGUCGAAAUACAGGACUCAUUACAGUAAAGGGUAAAAGAAAAUGAUCAGUAAGUUACCUUGGCGAGCCGUGUUACAUAAGCUGCAG
rnacentral:lncRNA from 1 species